UACGAAGGGGGCUAGCGUUGCUCGGAAUCACUGGGCGUAAAGCGCACGUAGGCGGAUUGUUAAGUCAGGGGUGAAAUCCUGGAGCUCAACUCCAGAACUGCCUUUGAUACUGGCGAUCUUGAGUCCGGGAGAGGUGAGUGGAACUCCGAGUGUAGAGGUGAAAUUCGUAGAUAUUCGGAAGAACACCAGUGGCGAAGGCGGCUCACUGGCCCGGUACUGACGCUGAGGUGCGAAAGCG
rnacentral:rRNA from 1 species